UUUAACCCUAUCGGAUGUAAAUGUAAUACGUUUACAAUCUAAUUAAGUUACUUCACCUUUUAACGUGACAUGAUAAACUAUUUCAGAUAACUAACACGUACUCCACCUCCACCCUUUAACGGGACAAAAAAACAGAGAGUAAAUAUUAUUAUUCCCCAUCUCUAGCUUUGGGCCGGAUCUCCAUAGCCCAUGCCUCCCUCCCCUCUGGACAAAACACUAGUCCUUCAGAUGCUUAGACGGAGGCAGUUUCAUUCUGCUACCUGCCUACCUCCCGGCCAUCUCCAUCGCCGGGCGGGCUGGGCAUGGCACGCACGAGCCGCACCCAGUUCUUGUUCAUCUCCAUCGCUGGGCGGGCUGGGCAAUUGGGCAUCGCACGCACGAGGCGCACCGCGCACCCAGCUUGUCUGAGCACCACCUGACAGUGACACCUGAUCGACGGAAUGCCCCCUAGUGACCCCGACGCGACGGCCGACAUGUCAGGCGACCCACGCGUUCCUGGCGCUGUGUGCAGGAUCAACGCCCUGCCCGAUGACAUGCUCCUCCUCAUCUGUCCUACCUGAAUGCCCGCCAGGUUGUGCAGACGUGCGUGCUGUCACGGCAGUGGCGCAACCUCUGGCGUUCCGUGCCCCGCAUCAACGCCACGCCCGGCGAGUUUGAGCACAUGUCUAAUGACUGUCGGGAGUACGCCCGGCUGGUAUGACAUGCCUUGGUUCUUUGAUGAGUACUCGGAAGAUGUUAACCUAUGGAUCUGCCAUGCUCUACAUUGCAAUGCUCGAUCUAUCAUGGUUAUGGGACAGGACAAUAGCUGAAUAUGGGAAAUAUACAGUGGUGCCCAAAAUUCAACAAUCUUACAACUCUGACAAUCAGCCAAUGGUGUCUGCAUCCAGACUUCUAUUCAUUGAUAGUCGUCCUUCAGAACUCACGUAGCCUGGAGAAUCAAACUCUGAAACUCAGAGGGGUUGGCCAUACACAUCAGAGAUUCACUGGGGAGCUAGAAGAAAGGUCGUUCAGCUGUGAGCACCUUGAUAGCAUUGAUAUUGUUUGCUGGGAGGUUCAAGAACAUGAUCCUGUGCUCGACAACCUGGUGGAGCUUCUGACUGAAAAUGGCAUAGAACAUGAUGAGAUUGACAUCAGUAUCUCGCUAUAGAUUUCAUUUACAUCAAUCACUGGAACAAGUCACAGUUCAUUCAUUGGUUUGUGGAUGCAGGACCAUGCAUGUGCAUGUUUGGUUCACCUGGAUCUUAGUCUCAGUUUCGAUGGAUUCAUUUUGUGAAAAACUGGAUAACUUGUAUGCACAUGAAUUUAAUGCUUUGUUACCAACUCACUUCUGCUAGAGCUGUUUUAGUCUUACUUUUAAGUAUUGGUUCAGGCCAAUGCAAUCAAUAACAAUACCCUAUAUAUUAAAGGCUUGA